UGGGGAAUUUUGCACAAUGGGGGAAACCCUGAUGCAGCGACGCCGCGUGAUUUAGAAGGCCUUCGGGUUGUAAAAAUCUUUUCUAUGGGAAGAAAAUGACAGUACCAUAGGAAUAAGGACCGGCUAAUUACGUGCCAGCAGCCGCGGUAAUACGUAAGGUCCGAGCGUUGUCCGGAAUCAUUGGGCGUAAAGGGUACGUAGGCGGGUAAGCAAGUAAGAAGUGAAAUCCUAUAGCUCAACUAUAGUAAGCUUUUAAAACUGCUCAUCUUGAGGUAUGGAAGGGAAAGUGGAAUUCCUAGUGUAGCGGUGAAAUGCGCAGAUAUUAGGAGGAAUACCGGUGGCGAAGGCGACUUUCUGGCCAUAACCUGACGCUGAGGUACAAAAGCGUGGGUAGCAAACAGG
rnacentral:rRNA from 1 species